rnacentral:rRNA from 1 species
GCUUAGAGUUUGAUCCUGGCUCAGAUUGAACGCUGGCGGCAUGGCUAAGACAUGCAAGUCGAACGAUUGAAAGUGGCGAACGGGCGAGUAAUGCGAUCGAACGUACCCCGAGGUGGGGGAUAGCGACGGGAAACUGUCGGUAAUACCCCAUGUGCUCUCCGGAGGAAAGGCUUGCCGCCUCGGGAGCGGCGAUCGUCCUAUCAGGUUGUUGGUGGGGUAAUGGCCCACCAAGCCGAAGACGGGUAGCGGGUGUGAGAGCAUGACCCGCCGCAUCGGGACUGAGACACUGCCCGGACUCCUACGGGAGGCUGCAGUAACGAAUCUUCCGCAAUGGGCGAAAGCCUGACGGAGCAAUGCCGCGUGUGGGAUGAAGCGGUUUCGCCGUGUAAACCACUGUCAGGGUCUACCACCACCGAGGAGACCCAGAGGAAGGGCCGGCUAAUUCCGUGCCAGCAGCCGCGGUAAUACGGAAGGCCCGAGCGUUAUUCGGAAUCACUGGGCUUAAAGCGUCCGCAGGCGGACCGGCAGGCAUGUCGUGAAAGCCCACGGCUCAACCGUGGAACUGCGAUGUGAACCGCCGGUCUUGAGGCAGGUAGGGGCUGACGGAACCGAGGGUGGAGCGGUGAAAUGCGUAGAUAUCCUCGGGAACGCCGAUGGCGAAGGCAGUCAGCUGGGCCUGUCCUGACGCUCAGGGACGAAAGCGUGGGGAGCGAACGGGAUUAGAUACCCCGGUAGUCCACGCCGU